rnacentral:sRNA from 1 species
CAGCGCUGUAUAGUGCAGAGCGGGCGAGGGGCAUAGGGAAGUCACUGGCACGUGGUAUGUGUUGGCAGGGCUGCUUCUCACCCCAAACCAAGGAAGGGACAGGCAGGGAGGCUGAGAGCAGCGGCUUGCCCUGGAGCUGUCAGGUGGGAGGCAGAGGGUGGGAGAGGCUGUGGGCUGCCCAGGUCUGAUCCCUGACCCACUUGCCACCCGUGCCCUCAGUUCUUCCCCAAUGGAGAGGCCAUCUGCACGGGCUCGGAUGACGCUUCCUGCCGCUUGUUUGACCUGCGGGCAGACCAGGAGCUGAUCUGCUUCUCCCACGAGAGCAUCAUCUGCGGCAUCACGUCCGUGGCCUUCUCCCUCAGUGGCCGCCUGCUAUUUGCUGGCUACGACGACUUCAACUGCAAUGUCUGGGACUCCAUGAAGUCUGAGCGUGUGGGCAUCCUCUCUGGCCACGAUAACAGGGUCAGCUGCCUGGGAGUCACAGCUGAUGGGAUGGCUGUGGCCACAGGUUCCUGGGACAGCUUCCUCAAAAUCUGGAACUGAGGAGGCUGGAGAAAGGGAAGUGGAAGGCAGUGAAGACACUCAGCAGCCCCCUGCCCGACCCCAUCUCAUUCAGGUGUUCUCUUCUAUAUUCCGGGUGCCAUUCCCACUAAGCUUUCUCCUUUGAGGGCAGUGGGGAGCAUGGGACUGUGCCUUUGGGAGGCAGCAUCAGGGACACAGGGGCAAAGAACUACCCCAUCUCCUCCCAUGGCCUUCCCUCCCCACAGUCCUCACAGCCUCUCCCUUAAUGAGCAAGGACAACCUGCCCCUCCCCAGCCCUUUGCAGGCCCAGCAGACUUGAGUCUGAGGCCCCAGGCCCUAGGAUUCCUCCCCUAGAGCCACUACAGGCCUGGGUGGUAUAGGGCGUUUGGCCCUGUGACUAUGGCUCUGGCACCACUAGGGUCCUGGCCCUCUUCUUAUUCAUGCUUUCUCCUUUUUCUACCUUUUUU